AAUAUUACAAAUGUGAACUUCUUUCUCUGGUGGCAGGUCCUUAUUAUCAUCCUCCACACUCGUAGCAUGUCUUCAUUAGCCAACUUUGUCCCCCCACCAUGUGUCCUUAGGCUAACAUGGGUCUUCAUGUGGCUAAAGUUGCCAAAGCAAAGAACUGUGUCACAUCAGCCAAGUUGCUAAAUAAUGCAUGUAAAGGAUA